rnacentral:rRNA from 1 species
ACACGGAGGGCGCAAGCGUUGCUCGGAAUCACUGGGCGUAAAGCGGGUGUAGGCGGUCUAGCAAGCCAGAUGUGAAAGCCCACGGCUCAACCGUGGAAGUGCAUCUGAAACUGCUAGACUUGAGUGCCGGAGAGGGAAGUGGAAUUCCUGGUGUAGGGGUGAAAUCCGUAGAUAUCAGGAGGAACACCGGUGGCGAAGGCGACUUCCUGGACGGCCACUGACGCUGAGACCCGAAAGCGUGGGGAGCAAACAGGAUUAGAUACCCUAGUAGUCC